UACGUAGGGGGCUAGCGUUGUCCGGAAUCAUUGGGCGUAAAGAGCGUGUAGGCGGCUCGAUAAGUCCGCUGUGAAAGUCCAGGGCUCAACCCUGGGAUGCCGGUGGAUACUGUCGGGCUCGAGUCCGGAAGAGGCGAGUGGAAUUCCUGGUGUAGCGGUGAAAUGCGCAGAUAUCGGGAGGAACACCAAUUGCGAAGGCAGCUCGCUGGGACGUCACUGACGCUGAGACGCGAAAGCGUGGGGAGCAAACAGG
rnacentral:rRNA from 1 species